CACUCUGUCCUAAUGACAUUCCC
rnacentral:piRNA from 1 species